ACGGAAGGCAGCAGUGGGGAAUAUUGGACAAUGGGGGGAACCCUGAUCCAGCGACGCCGCGUGAGUGAAGAAGUAUUUCGGUAUGUAAAGCUCUUUAAGCAGGGAAGAAGAUGACGGUACCUGCAGAAUAAGCCCCGGCUAACUACGUGCCAGCAGCCGCGGUAAUACGUAGGGGGCAAGCGUUAUCCGGAUUUACUGGGUGUAAAGGGAGCGUAGACGGCAAUGCAAGUCUGAAGUGAAAGCCCGCGGCUUAACUGCGGGACUGCUUUGGAAACUGUAUAGCUAGAGUGUCGGAGGGGUAAGCGGAAUUCCAAGUGUAGCGGUGAAAUGCGUAGAUAUUUGGAAGAACACCGGUGGCGAAGGCGGCUUGCUGGACGAUAACUGACGUUGAGGCUCGAAAGCGUGGGGAGCAAACAGGAUUAGAUACCCUGGUA
rnacentral:rRNA from 1 species